GUGUUUGCACUAACAGCCCAUAUACUAAAAUUGGAAUGAUACAGAGAAGAUCAGCAUGGUCUCGUGAAAGUAGGACACACCAGUUCGUGAAGCAUUCCAUAUUUUU